rnacentral:rRNA from 1 species
UACGAAGGGGACUAGCGUUGUUCGGAAUCACUGGGCGUAAAGCGCACGUAGGCGGAUUCGUAAGUCAGGGGUGAAAUCCCGGGGCUCAACCUCGGAACUGCCUUUGAUACUGCGGGUCUUGAGUCCGAUAGAGGUGGGUGGAAUUCCUAGUGUAGAGGUGAAAUUCGUAGAUAUUAGGAAGAACACCGGUGGCGAAGGCGGCCCACUGGAUCGGUACUGACGCUGAGUGCGAA